GCCGCCGUAGCUCAGCCGGCAGAGCGAUCGCCUUGUAACUGCGGCGGGAGAGCGAUAGGUCGUGGGUUCAAUCCCCACCGGCGGCU
rnacentral:tRNA from 1 species